GAUGAACGCUGGCGGCGUGCCUAAUACAUGCAAGUCGAACGCUGGAAAUCUAGCUUGCUAGAUUGAAGGAGUGGCGAACGGGUGAGUAAUACAUAAGCAACCUACCCACGAAGACUGGGAUAAUCUCUGGAAACGGGGACUAAUACCGGAUAGGUAAUCGGAAGGCAUCUUCUGAUUAUUAAAGGUUAAAAACACUGGUGGAUGGGCUUAUGGCGCAUUAGUUAGUUGGUGAGGUAACGGCCCACCAAGACGAUGAUGCGUAGCCGGCCUGAGAGGGUGAACGGCAACAUUGGGACUGAGACACGGACCAGACUCCUACGGGAGGCAGCAGUAGGGAAUUUUCGGCAAUGGGGGAAACCCUGACCGAGCAACGCCGCGUGAGUGAUGACGGCCUUCGGGUUGUAAAGCUCUGUUGUAAGGGAAGAACGGUAGAUAGAGAAUAUCUAAAUGACGGUACCUUACCAGAAAGCCACGGCUAACUACGUG
rnacentral:rRNA from 1 species